AUACGGAGGGUGCAAGCGUUGUUCGGAAUCACUGGGCGUAAAGGGCGCGCAGGCGGUUUGGUAAGUCAGAUGUGAAAGCCCACGGCUCAACCGUGGAAGUGCAUUUGAAACUGCCAGACUUGAGUACCAGAGGGGAAAGUGGAAUUCCCGGUGUAGAGGUGAAAUUCGUAGAUAUCGGGAGGAAUACCGGUGGCGAAGGCGACUUUCUGGCUGGAUACUGACGCUGAGGCGCGAAAGCGUGGGGAGCAAACAGGAGUAGAAACCCCAGUAGUCC
rnacentral:rRNA from 1 species